UCCAAAUCUUUCGUCAAAACUGCGUAUAGGUGCGAAAUACUAAUU
rnacentral:rRNA from 11 species